AAGAAAGUGGCAGAGCGGUAAUGUACUUGGCUUGAAACCAAGUUAUGGGGGUUCAACUCCUCCCUUUCUCG
rnacentral:tRNA from 1 species